AUGAUUACAGACACCUGUGUGUGCCCUUUGACACGAAAUAAUCUAGUGACCCACAGUGUUUAUCAUUAUACCCUGAUGAAGACAGCUUGUCUGUCAAAACGUUGGUUAUUAGGUUAUUACAUUAUUGCAUCUGAGCUCCUAGAGUGUGCGGCUCUCUUCUUUUUCAAGUGUUCUACUCUGCUAGCCAGCACCUCGCCUAAACAGGUGUGAGUUUCUUUUGCCAGUCAAUCAUGUAGACAUUUUCUGUGUCUGUAGACUAUUCUGCCUCACUGAAUUUUUAUCAAUUAUCCAACAACAGGACAUAUCAACCAGCAGAUCAGAUCCAUGUUUUCCAGAUACAUCACAACCUUUUCUUGAUUCCAACAGAUAGUCAUCCGACGGCUACGCUGAGUUUUGACAAAGAGGACGUAUUCACAGGAGACAGAGUUACACUGAGCUGUACUGUAGAGUCUCCUGGAUGGAAGAUUUACUGGUACAGACACAGACCAGACUCUACACCAGUAACCACAACCUCUGGAUACUCCUACACACUCAGCUGGGUCAGUGUCUCUGAUGGAGGACAGUACUGGUGCAGAGCUGGGAGAGGAGACCCAGUCUACUACACCCUGUACAGUGACACAGUCCAGAUAAACAUUACUGGAGGUAGAGCAGUCAGAAGACUGUAGUUCAGAGAUCAUCGUCAGGACAGAAUGGAACACACCUUGCUCUGUGUGUUACUCUGUAAGUACUGAGUUAGUGUGUUUGUGUAUGAACACUAAUUACCUGAUGUAAAUUAAGACAAUUUCAUGCUUUAGCUUUUUUAGGGGUGUUUUUAUCUCUUAUUGAGAAAACAGUGCAAAUGCUUAGUAAAUGGCACUGAAAUGGGAUUGCAUAAAAUAUAGUGUAGGGCUACAUAUGCAGGAUCUUAAUUUGAUCACACUUUUGUUGCUGAGAAUUUUCCUGAACCACAGGAGAUGCAGAUGAGCUUUGUGAUUUACAUGAAUUAACUGAAAACCCACCAUAUUAGAUUAAAGAUGCUCUUCAGAAAUGUUCCGUCAUAUCCUGGUUGCUAAAACGCUUAUAUUUAGCCUAAUUUCAGUUUUUGUGAGAAAAGAAGCAAGUAUAAUGUAGAGAUUCAUUGUACCAACUAAACCGCUUUGAAAAUAUAUUUUCCAUAAGCAGAAAUGUUGUAUUCUCAGCUGUUUGAAGCUGUUGUACCAAACCAAAAGUAAAAUAUACAAAAACUAAACUCAAAAACAGAAAGCAUAGAAAAAGUGCACAUAGAACAGAUCUACCGCUUCUAAUACAGCUUUAACAGUAUUGCACUUUUCAUGUAGCCUAAUUUUGGCCUGCUAAUAGCCUAACAACCAAAUCAAGCAACAUUUUUGACUCGUUUUUCAAGUUAUGUUUAUUUUGCUCUGAAAAUAUAGGUCAAAUUAAGAUCCUACACCUGUAUGUGAUGUGAGAGUGAGUGACCAUUCUACAUUGAUGUUGAAUCUCUGUGAGAACCUGAGCUAGUAUAGCAGAUGCCAUGCAGACCCGGAUAGUGGGGUGGUGUGGUGUGCAUUUAACCAGGUCACCACUCA
rnacentral:lncRNA from 8 species